GGGCUUCCGGUUGCAGCCUGAGAAAUCAGGCUGAUGGCUGGUGACUUUUUAGUCACCAGCCU
rnacentral:sRNA from 1 species